rnacentral:rRNA from 1 species
GAUGAACGCUGGCGGCGUGCCUAAUACAUGCAAGUCGAGCGAACGGACGAGAAGCUUGCUUCUCUGAUGUUAGCGGCGGACGGGUGAGUAACACGUGGAUAACCUACCUAUAAGACUGGGAUAACUUCGGGAAACCGUAGCUAAUACCGGAUAAUAUUUUGAACCGCAUGGUUCAAAAGUGAAAGACGGUCUUGCUGUCACUUAUAGAUGGAUCCGCGCUGCAUUAGCUAGUUGGUAAGGUAACGGCUUACCAAGGCAACGAUGCAUAGCCGACCUGAGAGGGUGAUCGGCCACACUGGAACUGAGACACGGUCCAGACUCCUACGGGAGGCAGCAGUAGGGAAUCUUCCGCAAAGGGCGAAAGCCUGACGGAGCAACGUCGCGUGAGUGAUGAAGGUCUUCGGAUCGUAAAACUCUGUUAUUAGGGAAGAACAUAUGUGUAAGUAACUGUGCACAUCUUGACGGUACCUAAUCAGAAAGCCACGGCUAACUACGUG